CAUGUUACAUACUGACUUUUGCUAGGUCAUCUUUUUCACAAUGUAAUCCUCCGGUGAAUAAAAUUAGUACAAAACUUGGAAUGUCUGCAUCAGACGAUAAUUGGAGUUCGAAUGUUGUAACACAAUUUUUCCAAAAUACUCAGACUCAAAAUGCAAUAGCCCUUUGGCUUAGGGGUUCGGGGGCGGAACUGUCACCACGCAGUCACACGUUCGAUUCCUCUCUGUCCGGGAAGCUAUUUGCUAAUCCUACUCGGCUCGGUGUUAGUACGGGGUGGGUGCUCCUCUCAUGGUAGGGUGAGCCCGGCCAGACGGUCUGGCAAUGCCAGAAAGGGGAGCCCUCGCAGAGUCCGUUCUCUGUGAGAAGAUCCGACUCAUCACCAGAGUUAUAUGGUCAGCUUGUAUCCGGUCAUUCUGGUCCACCUGUUCAACAUGUUGGUUGUUACGGCAAAAUGUACAAAAACCGCAUUUACUUCUCCGGUGUGCUGAGCUGUAUCAGGUGGCUGUAAAGUCCUUUACCGAUGACAAGGCGUCCUCAAUGAGCUAUGCGGAGUGGGCUGAAACGAGGAUUUCUCAAGAUUUAAACCACGUCACGCAAUAUUUGCAUCCAAAGAGGAGAAAGCGAACCAAAAGGCUGGCAUAUUUUUCAUUUUCCAAAUUUCCUGCGUAUUUUUUUUGCUUUGAAUGCAGAUAUCUCCACCAAUCCUGCGCAUUGGCAGGUAGUUCCAUUUGCAAAUUUCAUACUAAUUACAUUUAUGAUCGAUUGA